AAGGGUUCGGCUGUUCGCCGAUUAAAGCGGUACGUGAGCUGGGUUUAGAACGUCGUGAGACAGUUCGGUCCCUAUCUGCUGUGGGCGUAGGAGAUUUGAGGGGGGCUGGCCCUAGUACGAGAGGACCGGGCUGGGUGCACCUCUGAUGUACCGGUUGUCCCGCCAGGGGCACCGCCGGGUAGUCAAGUGCAUUAGAGAUAAACGCUGAAUGCAUCUAAGCGUGAAGCUCGCCCCAAGAUGAGAUCUCCCUCCCGUUUAACGGGACUGAAGGCUCCUCGGAGACGACGAGGUAGAUAGGCAGGAAGUGGAAGUGUGGCAACGCAUGAAGCUGACCUGUACUAAUCAGCCGUGCGGCUUGACCUA
rnacentral:rRNA from 1 species